rnacentral:rRNA from 1 species
AGUGAACGCUAGCGGUGCGCCUAACACAUGCAAGUCGAGCGAGAAGUUUUGGUGCUUGCACUAAAAUGGACAGCGGCGAACGGGUGAGGAACACGUUGGUAUCUGCCCCCAAGUCAGGGAUAGCCAUUCGAAAGGAUGAUUAAUACCGGAUAGUCUCUUCGGAGUAAAGAUUUAUCGCUUGGGGAAGAGCCUGCGUACCAUCAGCUUGUUGGUAGUGUAAUAGACUACCAAGGCAAUGACGGUUAACUGGUCUGAGAGGAUGAUCAGUCACAAUGGAACUGAGACACGGUCCAUACUUCUACGGAAGGCAGCAGUGAGGAAUCUUCCACAAUGGGCGAAAGCCUGAUGGAGCGACACCGCGUGAAGGAUGAAGGCCUAACGGUUGUAAACUUCUUUUCUGAAGGAGCAUAAUGAGAGUACUUCAGGAAUAAGGGGGGGCUAAUUAUG